rnacentral:rRNA from 1 species
UACAGAGGUCCCAAGCGUUGUUCGGAUUCACUGGGCGUAAAGGGUGCGUAGGUGGUGAGGUAAGUCGGAUGUGAAAUCUCCGAGCUCAACUCGGAAACUGCAUUGGAAACUACCUUGCUCGAGGGUUGGAGGGGGGACUGGAAUGCUUGGUGUAGCAGUGAAAUGCGUAGAUAUCAAGCGGAACACCAGUGGCGAAGGCGAGUCCCCUGGACAACUCCUGACACUGAUGCACGAAAGCUAGGGGAGCAAACAGG